rnacentral:rRNA from 1 species
CGUUGACCUCGAAUCAGGUAGGACUACCCGCUGAACUUAAGCAUAU